UCUUUUAGAGAUGAGUGGCGAACGGGUGAGUAAUACAUAGGUAACCUGCCCCUGUGCGGGGGAUAACAGGAGGAAACUCCUGCUAAUACCGCAUAGCCAUGAGCACCGCAUGGAGCUCAUGCCAAAUAUCCUUUAUGGGAUAGCGCAGGGAUGGACCUAUGGCGCAUUAGCUGGUUGGCGGGGCAACGGCCCACCAAGGCAACGAUGCGUAGCCGGCCUGAGAGGGCGGACGGCCACAUUGGGACUGAGACACGGCCCAGACUCCUACGGGAGGCAGCAGUAGGGAAUUUUCGGCAAUGGGGGAAACCCUGACCGAGCAACGCCGCGUGAGCGAAGAAGGCCUUCGGGUCGUAAAGCUCUGUUGUAAAGGAAGAACGGCGCAUACAGGAAAUGGUAUGCGAGUGACGGUACUUUACCAGAAAGCCACGGCUAACUACGUGCCAGCAGCCGCGGUAAUACGUAGGUGGCGAGCGUUAUCCGGAAUCAUUGGGCGUAAAGAGGGAGCAGGCGGCCGCAAGGGUCUGUGGUGAAAGACCGAAGCUAAACUUCGGUAAGCCAUGGAAACCGGGCGGCUAGAGUGCGGAAGAGGAUCGUGGAAUUCCAUGUGUAGCGGUGAAAUGCGUAGAUAUAUGGAGGAACACCAGUGGCGAAGGCGACGGUCUGGGCCGCAACUGACGCUCAUUCCCGAAAGCGUGGGGAGCAAAUAGGAUUAGAUACCCUAGUAGUCCACUCC
rnacentral:rRNA from 1 species